CCCUAGGGACCAUCAUCUGCAGAUAUGUCAAGAAAUCUCAUGAAACCAGAUCCCCGAAGUAGCCUCUCCCAGUUUUGGACCCCUACAUUAACAUGCACUUGAACAUUAAAUUCUACACAAAGAUUAUUUGUGAUGGUGAUGCAAUAAAUCCCUUCCUACCAACUGCUACAUGAGAGGUCCCAAGGUGGAAGAAACUUCAUGGAUGCCACUUUAGGAAGAUCUACUUUCAACCCAAGGCCAUGACUUCAGUGGGACAAUUAAUAAGCUGUGGACUGCUUUAUAUCGACCUUUGAACUCAAAGGAGGAUUCCAGGCUACUGUGUCCUUCACCUUAUCAAGUCAAGGUACCAUCUGUUGAAAGUGCAAAAAUUAUGUCUACUUUGCAAUUGGCUACGAUGGCGCGUGAAGUCUACUGGCUAUAGGAUAACAUUUACGGAUGACAAAAGUAGGCUACCUUCAUUUUGUUCUGCCAUGAUCAGUAGGAAGGCUUUAAAUUAUGAGAUCCUGAAUUGGAGAAGAGCUAGAGCUUGGAAGAGAUAAAUCAGAAAGUGUGUGAUGUAUCAGCUUGUCAUGGAAUGUCAAUAAUAAGAUCAGUGAUCAGGCACCCACUACUGCUAGGUGUGAGAGACUUGACCAAGACAAGCAAACAGUGAGGAUUUGAACCCCAGACUUCAAGAUUGAGAGUACGAAUUGCAACUGCUGCAUCUACAGCUUCCACAAUUAUUAAGAUGAAAGACAAUGCCUUUGUUAAACAGUAAGAGAAAUUUAAAAUGAUGACAUUGUCAUCUGAGAAAGACAAAAUCUUCAAGAAAGUAUAUAGCUUAACAUGUUUGUGCAUUACCUGAUAGAUGUUAGAAUUGAAGUGACAGUGACAUCCAAACAUGAAUGAGCAGUUUGCUGUACAGAAGCUGUAGAGCUUGAAGUGCCUUACUAACGCUUAUUAGACUCGUCUGUUAGAAAGUGAUCAUCUGUCAGAAUGGACUGCAUUAGGUCAUACAAGAGUAGCUGCA
rnacentral:lncRNA from 1 species